rnacentral:rRNA from 1 species
AUUCCAGCUCCAAUAGCGUAUAUUAAAGUUGUUGCAGUUAAAAAGCUCGUAGUGGAUUUGUGGUGUACUUCGGCGGCCCGUCACUAUGUGAUGGAGCUUGCUGAAGUCGCCAUCCUUGGGUGGAUCCUGUGUGGCAUUAAGUUGUCGUGCAGGGGAUGCCCAUCGUUUACUGUGAAAAAAUUAGAGUGUUCAAAGCAGGCUUAUGCCGUUGAAUAUAUUAGCAUGGAAUAAUAAGAUAGGACCUUGGUACUAUUUUGUUGGUUUGCGCACCAAGGUAAUGAUUAAUAGGGACAGUUGGGGGUAUUUGUAUUUCAUUGUCAGAGGUGAAAUUCUUGGAUUUUUGAAAGACGAACUACUGCGAAAGCAUUUACCAAGGAUGUAUUCAUUA